GGCGCACGGGUGAGUAACGCGUGGGAACCUGCCUUUUAGUACGGGACAACGUUUGGAAACGAUCGCUAAUACCGUAUACGCCCUCCGGGGGAAAGGUCAGCCGCUGAAAGAGGGGCCCGCGUCUGAUUAGCUUGUUGGUAAGGUAACGGCUUACCAAGGCAACGAUCAGUAGCUGGUCUGAGAGGAUGAUCAGCCACACUGGGACUGAGACACGGCCCAGACUCCUACGGGAGGCAGCAGUGGGGAAUAUUGGACAAUGGAGGCAACUCUGAUCCAGCAAUGCCGCGUGUGUGAUGAAGGCCCUAGGGUUGUAAAGCACUUUCAACGGUGAAGAUGAUAACGGUAGCCGUAGAAGAAGCCCCGGCUAACUUCGUGCCAGCAGCCGCGGUAAUACGAAGGGGGCGAGCGUUAUUCGGAAUUAUUGGGCGUAAAGGGCUCGCAGGCUGCUUGAACAGUUAGACGUGAAAUCCCCGGGCUUAACCUGGGAACUGCGUUUAAUACUAGCAAGCUAGAGAAAUAGAGAGGAGAGUGGAACUCCCAGUGUAGAGGUGAAAUUCGUAGAUAUUAGAAAGAAUACCGAUUGCGAAGGCAGCUUUCUGGAUCAUUACUGACACUGAGGAACGAAAGCAUGGGUAGCGAAGAGGAUUAGAUACCCUCGUAGUCCAUGCCGUAAACGAUGUGUGUUAGACGUUGGAAAUUUAUUUUCAGUGUCGCAGCGAAGGCGAUAAACACAC
rnacentral:rRNA from 1 species